CCUACGGGUGGCAGCAGUGGGGAAUAUUGGGCAAUGGAGGAAACUCUGACCCAGCAACGCCGCGUGAAGGAUGAAGGUUUUCGGAUUGUAAACUUCUGUCGCGAGGGAUGAAGAAUGACGGUACCUCGUAAGAAAGCCCCGGCAAACUACGUGCCAGCAGCCGCGGUAAUACGUAGGGAGCGAGCGUUGUCCGGAAUUACUGGGUGUAAAGGGAGCGUAGGCGGGACGGCAAGUCAGAUGUGAAAACUGAGGGCUCAACUUUCAGACUGCAUUUGAAACUGCUGUUCUUGAGUGAAGUAGAGGUAAGCGGAAUUCCUAGUGUAGCGGUGAAAUGCGUAGAUAUUAGGAGGAACAUCGGUGGCGAAGGCGGCUUACUGGGCUUUUACUGACGCUGAGGCUCGAAAGCGUGGGGAGCAAACAGGAUUAGAUACCCUAGUAGUC
rnacentral:rRNA from 1 species